UAAAACCUUUAGGCCAAUUAAUGAUUUGAAAGUCACAUACGUGACAUAACAAUUUGAGGUAAGUGAGAACUUUAACAUGAUAAAAAACAUCAAAGUUAUAAUUCUGUCAUUAAAUUAACGUGAUAUAAAAACCGAUUCAGUAUUUAACAAAUAUUUAUACCUUUUAAAAGCCAAGCGAUGUCUGUUUCUACAGCAAUCCUGUAUUUCAGAGCCACACGACAGAUAUAAACAAAUGUGUCUUACCGGGAAAUAUGUUAUUCAUAUCUGUUCAGAUUCAUACAAAUUUGUUAUUUAAAGGUAAAUGUAUUUAAGUGAUGAAAAUCGUUGAUAAACUCAGUGUAAAGAUGAUGUCAUUCCGUGUUAUCCAGCAUUAACGUUACGUGCUAAAUGCUAAUAGCAAUAGCAUGCAAGCUGUACAAGUUUAUUUAAACGGAUAGUUUAAAGUACUUCUCAAUUUUACUCGACAUGGGGGCAACUGACAGUCUCACAAUGCAGACGAACAUCGUUAAUCCGGCGAACUUUAUGUGAGCAGCGAGUACAAAUCUUAAUCUUCUAUUCUGUCGCGUUCACAGCUCAAGGUAGAGAUGAAUGACUUCCGGUCGGUCUGUCGCUUGCAGCGGAUGUUUUCUCGCACCCUGAACGUAAACACGGAAGUGACAUUGAAUGGAGUUUUGUUGUCUGACACGAGCACAGUAGGACUAGGAAUCUGGCAAUGAAAGCUCACGGUAGGAGACCUGCACUGAAGGAGGACCAGCAGCCUGUCUGAAGCAAAGGGGGUGUUGCAGCACCAAGAGGCGGAGCCUGACACCCGGGAGGCGGAGCCUGACACCCGGGAGGCGGAGCCUGACACCGGGGAGGAGCUCAAGGUAGAGAUGAAUGACUUCCGGUCGGUCUGUCGCUUGCAGCGGAUGUUUUCUCGCACCCUGAACGUAAACACGGAAGUGACAUUGAAUGGAGUUUUGUUGUCUGACACGAGCACAGUAGGACUAGGAAUCUGGCAAUGAAAGCUCACGGUAGGAGACUUGCACUGGAGGAGGAGCAGCAGCAUGUCUGAAGCAAAGGAGGUGUUGCAGCACCAAGAGGAGGAGCCUGACACCAGGGAGGCGGAGCCUGACACCGGGGAGGAGGGUUGAGAGAGAGAGAUAGAGAGGCCAUUGAUGCUGGCACCACAUGCAGCUGAUAUGCAGAGAGCGACAACCUGCUUAAGUCAACACACUGCUGCAGAGAGAGGAAAGCUUGCCUUCCUUAUCGUGUUGCCUGUCCCUUGUUUUGUUAUUGUGAAGCUCUGGUUGUUAAAUUCCUCAAUUGUAAUGGCUGGUUGUAGCCUAUUGUAAACUCCCUUUUUUCUUUCCUAUCAUACAAAUGGUUUAUUUUACCAUGGAAGCUCUAGGGAGGUGGGUGUCUGCUUGUUCUUUUUUGCAACCUGUCUUAUCAUGUUCAUCUAGUUAAGGUGGUUGUUGUUUAUUUAUUUUCUAUUGUUAGUUUAGAAGAUUAACUAGUAAGUGGGUUACUUUUUGUUUAUUAUUAUUUUGAGCCUUCUCCCCCUCCUGAACUUCUGCUUGCUUUCCCAUUUUGUUUUGAAUAUGUUUUAUUUUAGUUACUUAUUUGAUCUAUACUAAAAGUACCAAAAAAACUGUUCAUAAACCUUUGAGCAAUCAUA